rnacentral:rRNA from 1 species
GACGAACGCUGGCGGCGUGCUUAACACAUGCAAGUCGAACGGAAAGGCCUGCUUUCCCUUGUGGAUUGCGGGUACUCGAGUGGCGAACGGGUGAGUAACACGUGAGUGAUCUGCCCCCAACUUGGGUGUAAGCCUGGGAAACUGGGUCUAAUUCCCGAUAGGACUGCAGGGUGGUGCCUGUGGUGGAACACGAUUUUCUAGUGGUUGGGGAUGAGCUCGCGGCCUAUCAGCUUGUUGGUGGGGUAAUGGCCUACCAAGGCGGCGACGGGUAGCCGGCCUGAGAGGGUGGACGGCCACAUUGGGACUGAGAUACGGCCCAGACUCCUACGGGAGGCAGCAGUGGGGAAUAUUACACAAUGGGCGGAAGCCUGAUGCAGCGACGCCGCGUGGGGGAUGACGGCCUUCGGGUUGUAAACUCCUUUCGACCGCGAGGAAGCCACCUGGUUGGAAGGGUGGUGACGGUAGUGGUAGAAGAAGCACCGGCUAACUACGUG